CAGCUGCGCCUCGCAGCGCAACCGAACUGUGGGCUCCACCCUCGAGGCUUCCAGACCAACAGAGGAGCGGAGCCGCACCCCGCGGGCUCCCCAUUGGUCGGGCGGGGAGGUGGGCGGGGCCCGGCGCCGAGGUCUCUCGCGGGUGGCGUUUUCCGGCAGUGGAGUCCCGGCGUUCGGUCCAGCCCAGGCCUUGCGCGGCGCUGGCGGCUCGCCGUCCCCUCGGGGGCUUGUGUCUCUGUCCAUACCUUCGCCCAGGUGACAUCGCUGGCCGAAAGGAAGGCCACCCCGCCUCUAGGAAAGCGCCAUGACAGUUGUAGUCCGAGGGAAAGACAAAAGGGGCGAGAGGAGCAGCCUGCCACUGAGAUGGACUCCGAGCCAGACACCGAUUCUUCAGAAAACGUAAAAGCCGGGUUAUUGCUGGGGCUCGGUGCCUGAACUACGAAUCCACUGCUCCUGGACGCCAUUUUCUCCAUUUUGUUAUCCUUGUUGUUAUUGUUGCCAUUGAUGAUGAUGUUAUUGGAUAGGACACAGAGAAAUCUAGAGAGGAAGGAAGACAAAGAGGAGAGAAAGAUAGGCACCUGCAGCUUAACCUGCUGCGCUUCAGCCCGAAAGAGUUUCUUUUUUUUUGUUUGUUUUGUUUUUACUAUUUUUAUUAUCUUUUCUUAUUAGAGACAGUCUAAAAUUGAGAGGGUAGGGGGAGACGGAGAAAAAGAGAUACCUACAACACUACCUCAUCACUCUAGAAGCUUUCCCCCUGCAGGUGGGGACUAAGGAAUCAAACAUGGGUCCUUGCACAUUGUAAUAUGUGCGUUUAACCAAGUGCACUACAGCUCGGCCUCCCUGUCUGUGUGUGUGUGUGUGUGUGUGUGUAAAAAGCUAGGGGGGCAGCAAUAGCGCAGUGGGUUAAGCACACAUGGCGUGAAGCCAAAGGAACAACAUAAAAAUCCCAGUUCGAGCCCUAGGCUCCCCACCUGCAGGGAGGUCGCUUCACAAGUGGUAAAGCAGGUCAGCAGAUGUCUUCUCUCCCGUCUCUGUCUCUCCCUCCUCUCUAGAUUUCUCUCUGUCCUAUCCAGCAACAAUAACAGGAAUAGAGAGUCGGGUAGUGCUGUGGGUUAAGCACAGGUGACAAAAAGCGCAAAGACCCACCAUAAGGAUCCCAGUUCGAGCCCCCGGAUCCCCACCUGCAGGGGAUUCGCUUCACAAGUGGUGAGGCAGGUCUACAGAUGUCUUUCUCUCCCCGUCUUCCCCUCCUUUCUGCAUUUCUCUCUGUCUUAUCCAACAAUGACAUCAAUAACAACAAUAUUAACUACAACAAUAAAAUAACAAAGGCAACAAAAGGGAAUAAAUAAGUAUAAUUUAAAAAAUAACAAGGGGGUUGUGGUCCAGGAAGUGGCGCAGUGGAUAAGGCAUUGGACUCUCAAGCAUGAGGUCCUAAAUUCAAUCCCUGGCAGCACAUGUACCAGAGUGAUGUCUGGUUCUUUCUCUCACUCCUAUCAUUUCUCAUAAAUCACUAAAUAAAAUAAAAAUAAAUAAAUAGAUAACAA